UGUUUGAUCCUGGCUCAGAACGAACGCUGGCGGCGUGCCUAACACAUGCAAGUCGAGCGAGAAAGUCCCUUCGGGGGCGAGUAGAGCGGCGGACGGGUGAGUAAUACGUGGAUAAUCUCCCCUCGAGCUUGGGAUAACCCUGCGAAAGUGGGGCUAAUACCGGAUAAGACCACAUGGCAUAUGCCACGGGGUAGAAGGUGGCUUAUAUUUAUAUGAGCUAUCACUUGAGGAUGAGUCCAUGGCCUAUCAGCUUGUUGGUGAGGUAAGAGCUCACCAAGGCUAUGACGGGUAGCUGGUCUGAGAGGACGACCAGCCACACUGGGACUGAGACACGGCCCAGACUCCUACGGGAGGCAGCAGUGGGGAAUAUUGGGCAAUGGGCGAAAGCCUGACCCAGCGACGCCGCGUGGGUGAUGAAGGCCUUCGGGUUGUAAAGCCCUUUCGUGCGGAAAGAACAGUCCCGUAGUGAAUAUCUACGGGAUUUGACGGUACCGCAGGAAGAAGCACCGGCUAA
rnacentral:rRNA from 1 species